CCCGUUUGAAAUUUUCACAUCUGUGCUGGAAGCAGAGCCGCACGUGCGGGGAAUAGCGCCGCACGUGCGGCCUGUUCGGGACAGCAGCUCUAAAAACGGGAUUUUGGGGCCAUUUCUUGCAAUUUCUUUUCCUCUCUUCUUCUCCCCUCUUCCAUAUCCGAAACCCUAGCCCCAAAUCCUUGAAUUCCUUUACUUUGCUCAUGAUCCACCAUGGUUUUUGGCAUCAAGGAUGGAGAAUAAGGGAGGAUCAAUGUUUUUACCCGAUUAGAACUUGGAUUUGUGAAGGCUUCUUCUCAAGCUCACUUCUUUGCUUGAUUAUUGAGGGCAUACUUCAGGAGGGCCAAGCACUCCGUUGUAGCACUGUCAGCAACCAGGUGGUCAGUCCUAGCCAAGACGUCCGCUUUCUUUUGUCAACCUUCGUAUGUCCAGGCACUGUAUAAGCCAUUUAUUUUGUCAAGUUGUUAAGAUGUUGACUUGCUUAUGGGUGUCCCUCUAAGGUUGUUGUAUAUACUUUCAUGUUCAUUUUUUUUGUAUACGCCCAAUCAUGGGGCUGGCAUUGUAAAUGUGUAUGUAUAUGCUCCGGGUUAUAGUUGGAACUUUAUCUAUCCACUAUAAUGCAUGUGAUGAAUGAGAUCCUGGCAUGUAGAAGUAGCUCAAUGGAGUUUAUUUGUUUCAUUA